AUCAUUCAGAAAUAUCAAAUAUUUCAUAGCGUCAAACAUAUCCCUAAUGGACCAGCCUCGAGUGUACUCAACAAGUUGAGACGAUUUAGAAUUCUGUUUUUUCACUAUAAUGAUGGAAGGCGAUUACAAAUGUGACUUAAUAUUUUAUGGAGGGAUUUUACAUUCAAAAGUCUCAUCAACAAUGAUACAAUCAUAUAUAUAUUAUUAUACAUCUACCAUACAAAUAAAUAAAUAAAUAAAUAAAUAAAUAUAUAUAUAUAUUAGUGUGGACGAUAAUAGACUUUUACUAUCUAGUCUUCCCGAGCCAUAAGGAAGACUAGUUGGUCAAUUCUUAGGGGGUAUUACACUGAUCAAUAUCAAUGCGCCAUCUCCAUGAUCUCCUCCUCUUCUUGUUUCUUCAAUUAGUCCAAUUGCAACAUGUAUCUUAUACUAGUUGGCACGUAGGUCUAAAUGAAAUUAGACUCGCAGGCCUAUAGCAACAAUAAUA
rnacentral:lncRNA from 1 species